rnacentral:rRNA from 1 species
UACGUAGGAUGCAAGCGUUGUCCGGAAUUACUGGGCGUAAAGGGCGCGUAGGCGGCGGGGUAAGUCUGGUGUGAAAUCUCGGAGCUCAACUCCGAAAUUGCACUGGAUACUGCUCUGCUUGAGGGUUGGAGAGGAGAUCGGAAUUCACGGUGUAGCAGUGAAAUGCGUAGAUAUCGUGAGGAAGACCAGUGGCGAAGGCGGAUCUCUGGACAAAUCCUGACGCUGAGGCGCGAAGGCUAGGGGAGCAAACAGG